CUCUCUCUCUCACCCUCUCGAACACACGGCAACCACCAAGACCACCACAAAAACACCCUAAACUUCCACCAACGACGGAUUUAAGAGUGCCAUCGUACUCCUGAAGACCAUACGAUCACGAUGAUACCCAUUUCAAGUAAGUUUUCACUUCGAAAACCCUAGUUUCUAAAGUUACCGUGAAUGUGUACUGUUCAUGAGCUUUGAAUUGGUUGUGUUUUAGGCCAAACCAAGCUCAUAGUGAGCUUUAGGAAGUCCCAAGGAAGCUCGGAGUGCUUCGUUGGAAGUUUUUGGACGUAAAAACACGGAGAUCGACAAGUUCAAAGUUUGGCCGGAGCUUUCGAGGCAUUUUUCCGGCGAAUCCCCGGCGAUUUAGGAGUUGAGUUGAG
rnacentral:lncRNA from 1 species